CCCGACUGCUAUCGGAGUGAGACUAAGCCAUGCGAGUCGUGCGCUCCGGGCUGGCGGAGCGCGGUGUACGGCUCAGUAACACGUGGUCAACCUACCCUGCGGACGGCUAUAACCCCGGGAAACUGGGGCUAAUAGCCGAUAGGGGAUAGGUGCUGGAAGGCCCUGUCCUCGAAAGGCCUAAUCACCCAUGCCGUGGUUAGGCGCCGCAGGAUGGGACUGCGCCCUAUCAGGUANACGGUGGGGUAACGGCCCACCGUGCCUGUAACGGGUGCGGGCCCUGGGAGGGGGAGCCCGGAGAUGGGCACUGANACAAGGGCCCAGGCCCUACGGGGCGCAGCAGGCGCGAAAACUCCGCUAUGCGCGAAAGCGCGACGGGGUCACUCCGAGUGCCGCCCGCUGAGGGCGGCUUUUGCCCAGUCCAAAAGGCUGGGCGAAUAAGGGGAGGGCAAGUUUGGUGUCAGCCGCCGCGGUAAUACCAACUCCCCGAGUGGUCGGGACGAUUAUUGGGCUUAAAGCGUCCGUAGCCGGCCCGGUAUGUCUCUGGUUAAAUCCGGCGUCUCAAGCGCCGGACCGCCGGAGAUACUACCGGGCUAGGGAGCGGGAGAGGCGGGCGGUAUUCCCUGGGUAGGGGUAAAAUCCUAAGAUCCAGGGAGGACCAUCGGUGGCGAAGGCGGCCCGCUAGAACGCGUCCGACGGUGAGGGACGAAAGCUGGGGGAGCGAUCCGGAUUAGAUACCCGGGUAGUCCCAGCCGUAAACGAUGCAGGCUAGGCGUGUGGACGCCUUAGGGGCGUCCAUGUGCCGAAGGGAAACCGUUAAGCCUGCCGCCUGGGGAGUACGGCCGCAAGGCUGAAACCCUAGGAGGCCCUUAACUGAUAUGAUGAGGAAGGGUUCUCCUAGGGCAGCAUACUUAAAGGAAUUGGCGGGGGAGCACCACAAGGGGUGGAGCCUGCGGUUCAAUUGGAGUCAACGCCCGAAACCUUACCCGGGAAGACAGCAGGAUGAAGGCCGGGCUGAAGACCCUGCCAGACAAGCUGAGAGGUGGUGCAUGGCCGUCGCCGGCUCGUACCGUGAGGCGUCCGGUUAAGUCCGGCAACGAGCGAGACCCGCGCCGCCAAUUGCUCCAGCCCUCUUCGGGGGGCUGAGGAAAUUGGCGGGACUGCCGCCGUAAGGCGGAGGAAGGAGCGGGCUACGGCAGGUCAGUAUGCCCUGAAUCCCCGGGGCCACACGCGGGCUACAAUGGCGCGGACAAUGGGUAGCGAACCCGAAAGGGGGAGCUAAUCCCUAAACCGCGCCUCAGUUGGGAUCGAGGGCUGCAACCCGUCCUCGUGAACCUGGAAUCCCUAGUAACCGCGCGUCAUCAUCGCGCGGUGAAUACGUCCAUGCUCCUUG
rnacentral:rRNA from 1 species